GGGUGAACGCUGGCGGCGUGCCUAACACAUGCAAGUCGAGCGGUGCAGCUGGAAGCUUCGGCGGAAGGCUGCACAGCGGCGGACGGGUGCGUAACACGUAGGAACGUGCCCCCUGGAGGCGGAUAGCUGUGGGAAACUGCAGGUAAUCCGCCGUAGACUCGUGAGAGUAAAGGCCGAAAGGUGCCAGGGGAGCGGCCUGCGGCCCAUCAGGUAGUUGGUAGGGUAAAGGCCUACCAAGCCGACGACGGGUAGCCGGUCUGAGAGGAUGGCCGGCCACAAGGGCACUGAGACACGGGCCCUACUCCUACGGGAGGCAGCAGUGGGGGAUUUUGGACAAUGGGCGAAAGCCUGAUCCAGCGACGCCGCGUGGAGGAAGAAGCCCUUCGGGGUGUAAACUCCUUUUGUCAGGGAAAAGAGCUGAUGGUACCUGACGAAUAAGCCCCGGCUAACUACGUGCCAGCAGCCGCGGUAAUACGUAGGGGGCGAGCGUUACCCGGAAUCACUGGGCGUAAAGGGUGCGUAGGCGGCCGAGUGUGUCUGGCGUUAAAAUCCACGGCUCAACUGUGGGUAUGCGCUGGAAACUGCUUGGCUUGAGUGCAGCAGAGGCAGACGGAACUGCUGGUGUAGAGGUGAAAUUCGUAGAUAUCAGCAGGAACGCCGGUGGAGAAGUCGGUCUGCUGGGCUGUAACUGACGCUGAGGCACGAAAGCUAGGGGAGCAAACCGGAUUAGAUACCCGGGUAGUCCUAGCCGUAACGAUGCUCACUUGGUGUGGGGGCGAAGAGUCUCCGUGCUGAAGCUAAC
rnacentral:rRNA from 1 species